GGGCCUGUAGCUCAGUUGGUUAGAGCGCCACGUUUACACCGUGGAUGUCCGCAGUUCGAAUCUGUGCAUGCCCA
rnacentral:tRNA from 1 species